UACGGAGGGUGCAAACGUUAUCCGGAAUCACUGGGCGUAAAGCGCAUGUAGGUGGUUUGGUAAGUGGGUGAUUAAAGACCGAUGCUUAACAUCGGGACUGUUGCCUAUACUGCCUGACUCGAGGAAGACAGGGGUAAGCGGAACUUUAGGUGUAGGGGUGAAAUCCGUAGAUAUCUAAAGGAACACCAAUGGCGAAGGCAGCUUACUGGGUCUUUUCUGACACUGAGAUGCGAAAGUGUGGGGAGCGAACGGG
rnacentral:rRNA from 1 species